rnacentral:rRNA from 1 species
AGUCGAGCGGAAAGGCCCUUCGGGGUACUCGAGCGGCGAACGGGUGAGUAACACGUGAGUAACCUGCCCCAGGCUUUGGGAUAACCCCGGGAAACCGGGGCUAAUACCGGAUAUGACUGGCUGCCGCAUGGUGGUUGGUGGAAAGAUUUUUCGGCUUGGGAUGGACUCGCGGCCUAUCAGCUUGUUGGUGGGGUAAUGGCCUACCAAGGCGGCGACGGGUAGCCGGCCUGAGAGGGCGACCGGCCACACUGGGACUGAGACACGGCCCAGACUCCUACGGGAGGCAGCAGUGGGGAAUCUUGCACAAUGGGCGGAAGCCUGAUGCAGCGACGCCGCGUGAGGGAUGACGGCCUUCGGGUUGUAAACCUCUUUCAGCAGGGACGAAGCGUUUGUGACGGUACCUGCAGAAGAAGCGCCGGCCAACUACGUGCCAGCAGCCGCGGUAAGACGUAGGGCGCAAGCGUUGUCCGGAUUUAUUGGGCGUAAAGAGCUCGUAGGCGGCUUGUCGCGUCGACUGUGAAAACCCGUGGCUCAACUUCGGGCUUGCAGUCGAUACGGGCAGGCUAGAGUUCGGUAGGGGAGACUGGAAUUCCUGGUG